rnacentral:rRNA from 1 species
CCUACGGGUGGCAGCAGUAGGGAAUUUUCGUCAAUGGGCGCAAGCCUGAACGAGCAAUGCCGCGUGAACGAGGAAGGUCUUCGGAUCGUAAAGUUCUGUUGAAGGGGAAAAAGAGCGGAGAGAGGAAAUGGUCUCCGAUUGAUAUUACCCUUCGAGGAAGUCACGGCUAACUACGUGCCAGCAGCCGCGGUAAUACGUAGGUGGCGAGCGUUAUCCGGAAUGAUUGGGCGUAAAGGGUGCGUGGGCGGCCUGCUAAGUCUGGAGUGAAAGGUACCGGCUCAACCGGGACAGGCACUGGAAACUGGCGGGCUAGAGAUCAGGAGAGGGCGGUGGAACUCGAUGUGUAGCGGUAAAAUGCGUAGAUAUAUGGAAGAACCCCAGUGGCGAAGGCGGCCGCCCGGCCUGUUACUGACGCUGAGGCACGAAAGCGUGGGGAGCAAAUAGGAUUAGAUACCCUUGUAGUC